rnacentral:rRNA from 1 species
UGCGCAGGCGGAAUAAUAAGUCAGCGGUGAAAGCCUACAGCUUAACUGUAGAACUGCCAUUGAUACUGUUAUUCUUGAGUGUUGUUGAGGUAGGCGGAAUGUGUCAUGUAGCGGUGAAAUGCUUAGAUAUGACACAGAACACCGAUCGCGAAGGCAGCUUACCAAGCAACAACUGACGCUCAUGCACGAAAGCGUGGGGAUCAAACAGGAUUAGAUACCCUGGUAGUCC